rnacentral:rRNA from 1 species
AAUAGAUACCCUGGUAGUCCACGCCGUAAACGAUGAGUGCUAAGUGUUAGAGGGUUUCCGCCCUUUAGUGCUGCAGCUAACGCAUUAAGCACUCCGCCUGGGGAGUACGGCCGCAAGGCUGAAACUCAAAGGAAUUGACGGGGGCCCGCACAAGCGGUGGAGCAUGUGGUUUAAUUCGAAGCAACGCGAAGAACCUUACCAGGUCUUGACAUCCUCUGACAACCCUAGAGAUAGGGCUUUCCCCUUCGGGGGACAGAGUGACAGGUGGUGCAUGGUUGUCGUCAGCUCGUGUCGUGAGAUGUUGGGUUAAGUCCCGCAACGAGCGCAACCCUUGAUCUUAGUUGCCAGCAUUCAGUUGGGCACUCUAAGGUGACUGCCGGUGACAAACCGGAGGAAGGUGGGGAUGACGUCAAAUCAUCAUGCCCCUUAUGACCUGGGCUACACACGUGCUACAAUGGAUGGUACAAAGGGCUGCAAACCUGCGAAGGUAAGCGAAUCCAUAAAGCCAUUCUCAGUUCGGAUUGC